rnacentral:rRNA from 1 species
CCUACGGGUGGCAGCAGUAGGGAAUAUUGCUCAAUGGGGGAAACCCUGAAGCAGCAACGCCGCGUGGAGGAUGAAGGUUUUCGGAUUGUAAACUCCUUUUGUUAGGGAAGAUAAUGACGGUAUCUAACGAAUAAGCACCGGAUAACUCCGUGACAGCAGCCGCGGUAAUACGGGGGGUGCAAGCGUUACUCGGAAUCACUGGGCGUAAAGAGGGCGUAGGCGGGAUAGAAAGUCAGAUGUGAAAUCCUAUGGCUUAACCAUAGAACUGCAUUUGAAACUGUUAUUCUAGAGUAUGGGAGAGGUAGGUGGAAUUCUUGGUGUAGGGUUAAAAUCCGUAGAGAUCAAGAGGAAUACUCAUUGCGAAGGCGACCUGCUAGCACAUACCUGACGCUGAUGCGCGAAAGCGUGGGGAGCAAACAGGAUUAGAUACCCAGUAGUC